rnacentral:rRNA from 1 species
CGCCUGUUUAUCAAAAACAUCGCCUCUUGCAAACAUCGAAGUAUUAGAGGUCCCGCCUGCCCAGUGACAAAAUUGUUCAACGGCCGCGGUAUCUUAACCGCGCGAAGGUAGCGUAAUCACUUGUCUUUUAAAUGAAGACCCGUAUGAAUGGCAUAACGAGGGUUUAACUGUCUCCUUCCCCCAGUCAAUGAAAUUGAUCUGCCCGUGCAAAAGCGGGCAUAAUAACAUAAGACGAGAAGACCCUAUGGAGCUUUAGGCGCUAAGUCAAACGUGUAAAAAUCUUGAUCCUCUACCAGAAAUUAAAAAGCACAAACCAAACGUAAAUGCAUGGCUAAACGCCUUCGGUUGGGGCGACCACGGAGGAAAACAGAGCCUCCACGAAGAAUGGGGCAUACCCCUAAACUAAGAGAUACCCCUCUAAGUAACAGAACAUCUGACUGACAUGACCCAGGAACAUACCUGAUCAACGAACCAAGUUACCCUAGGGAUAACAGCGCAAUCCUUUCUUAGAGUCCAUAUCGACGAAAGGGCUUACGACCUCGAUGUUGGAUCAGGACAUCCUAAUGGUGCAGCCGCUAUUAAGGGUUCGUUUGUUCAACGAUUAACAGUCCUACGUGAUCUGAGUUCAGACCGG